rnacentral:rRNA from 1 species
AUGAACGCUGGCGGCGUGCCUAAUACAUGCAAGUCGAGCGAACGGACGAGAAGCUUGCUUCUCUGAUGUUAGCGGCGGACGGGUGAGUAACACGUGGAUAACCUACCUAUAAGACUGGGAUAACUUCGGGAAACCGGAGCUAAUACCGGAUAAUAUUUUGAACCGCAUGGUUCAAAAGUGAAAGACGGUCCUGCUGUCACUUAUAGAUGGAUCCGCGCUGCAUUAGCUAGUUGGUAAGGUAACGGCUUACCAAGGCAACGAUGCAUAGCCGACCUGAGAGGGUGAUCGGCCACACUGGAACUGAGACACGGUCCAGACUCCUACGGGAGGCAGCAGUAGGGAAUCUUCCGCAAUGGGCGAAAGCCUGACGGAGCAACGCCGCGUGAGUGAUGAAGGUCUUCGGAUCGUAAAACUCUGUUAUUAAGGAAGAACAUAUGUGUAAGUAACUGUGCACAUCUUGACGGUACCUAAUCAGAAAGCCACGGCUAACUACGUG